UACGUAGGGCGCAAGCGUUGUCCGGAAUUAUUGGGCGUAAAGAGCUCGUAGGCGGCCUGUUACGUCUGCUGUGAAAUCCCGGGGCUAAACCCCGGGCGUGCAGUGGAUACGGGCAGGCUGGAGGCAGGCAGGGGAGAACGGAAUUCCCGGUGUAGCGGUGAAAUGCGCAGAUAUCGGGAGGAACACCGGUGGCGAAGGCGGUUCUCUGGGCCUGUACUGACGCUGAGGAGCGAAAGCGUGGGGAGCGAACAGG
rnacentral:rRNA from 1 species